GAUGAACGCUGGCGGCGUGCUUAACACAUGCAAGUCGAACGGAGUACCCCUGAAGGAGUUUUCGGACAACUGAUGGGACUACUUAGUGGCGGACGGGUGAGUAACGCGUGAGUAACCUGCCUUGGAGUGGGGAAUAACAGCUGGAAACAGCUGCUAAUACCGCAUAAUAUGUCUGUGUCGCAUGGCACUGGACAUCAAAGAUUUAUCGCUCUGAGAUGGACUCGCGUCUGAUUAGCUAGUGGGCGGGGUAACGGCCCACCAAGGCGACGAUCAGUAGCCGGACUGAGAGGUUGGCCGGCCACAUUGGGACUGAGACACGGCCCAG
rnacentral:rRNA from 1 species